AUACUAUUGUUGGUGUUUACGGUGUGAUUUGUUGUCAAACGCGUUCCCGGUACACAACCUCGCGCGCACAACAAGGGGGGGGGGUUUAGCUUUUCGCGUAAUUGCGAAUCGGUGCCAUCCGCGUGCGCACGUAAACUCACUGCUGUAACGCGUUUUCCAGUCCGGGCAACAUGGAAAGGAAGUGAAGUCCGCCGCUUUGGGAAGAACCUAAAGCCACAAGUGAAAGUCGGUUACAUCAGCAGAACGACCGUGAGCUGAAUUCUGAUUGGAGGAAUGGAGUGGCAGUCUGUCCUGCACCAGUGAUCAGGUCAGGAGAUUCCAGUGGUGACAUCCUGCAGAGCCUGAGAUCAGAGGCGUGGAGGCUGUUUUACCACCGCUGGAACUGAAGAUUGCUUUAAAUAAGCAAGUCCUUGUAGAAGGCUUUUAAGUCAUGAUGCAAGAAUCUGGGACGGAGGCGACGAGCAAUGGACCAGCCAAUCAGAAUGGAGGUGCGAGCAUGGAAGGCGGGUCCAGAGAGGGGCGACCCAAGAGCGCCACGCCGUCAGUAGAGGUGACCGCCGCCGACCUCCUGCAUCUCCAACAGC